AAGUGAGGUAAUUCACUCCUAGGUAUAAAUAGGUCAGAUAUAGCCUCUCCAGUUCACUUACCAUCCAGGAGAGGAGGCUGACACACAUCCAGAACCUUUUAGUCUGCUUUCCUCACUGGACAUUUUGUUUGGUGUUAUUGGCUUGACUUUAAAAUCCCUUGUGAACUUUCAUUAAUCUUGGAGGACACAAUCUAAUUGGUCAUUUGCCCCAUAAUUAAAUAAAGUACCUACAAGGAACCACAAUUAAGGAGCAGCUGAUUAGAAGUUCACGAGAGUUUCUAGUAUCAUUAUAGAUAUAUAUCACGUUUUAUCACUCUUCACAGUGAGAUCAUCUUGUAGGAAAUUUGCUAAAGCAUUAUUCCACUGUGACUUGUACCCCUGAUGAAGUCCAUAAUGGACGAAACGCGUUGGGUUUUAUGAGAUAUAUAUAGCAUACACUGUUUCUGCAUAAAUGUGUAUUGUGCUUAUGGAACAACGUGUAUGACAAAUUUUAACGUGUAUUAAAAAUAAUCUUUCUAUCAUUCCGGUUAUGCUGGUUGGAUUUUACUUUGAGUAAUUAUUUCAAUUUUAAUUAUGCCAUUGUA